rnacentral:tRNA from 1 species
GGCCGAGUGGCGGAAUUGGCAGACGCACGGGACUUAAAAUCCCGCGGGAGGAAUCUCCUGUACCGGUUCGAGUCCGGUCUCGGCUA